GAUGAACGCUGGCGGCGUGCCUAAUACAUGCAAGUCGAGCGAACAGACGAGGAGCUUGCUCCUCUGACGUUAGCGGCGGACGGGUGAGUAACACGUGGAUAACCUACCUAUAAGACUGGGAUAACUUCGGGAAACCGGAGCUAAUACCGGAUAAUAUAUUGAACCGCAUGGUUCAAUAGUGAAAGACGGUUUUGCUGUCACUUAUAGAUGGAUCCGCGCCGCAUUAGCUAGUUGGUAAGGUAACGGCUUACCAAGGCAACGAUGCGUAGCCGACCUGAGAGGGUGAUCAGCCACACUGGAACUGAGACACGGUCCAGACUCCUACGGGAGGCAGCAGUAGGGAAUCUUCCGCAAUGGGCGAAAGCCUGACGGAGCAACGCCGCGUGAGUGAUGAAGGUCUUCGGAUCGUAAAGCUCUGUUAGUAGGGAGGAACAAAUGUGUAAGUAACUAUGCACGUCUUGACGGUACCUAAUCAGAAAGCCACGGCUAACUACGUG
rnacentral:rRNA from 1 species